UGCCAGCCGCCGCGGUAAUACGGAGGGUCCGAGCGUUAAUCGGAAUUACUGGGCGUAAAGGGUGCGUAGGCGGUUUAACAAGUCAGAAGUGAAAGGCAUUGGCUCAACCAAUGUAAGCUUUUGAAACUGUUAGACUUGAGUGCAGGAGAGGAAAGUGGAAUUCCUAGUGUAGCGGUGAAAUGCGUAGAUAUUAGGAGGAACACCUGUGGCGAAGGCGACUUUCUGGACUGUAACUGACGCUGAGGCACGAAAGCGUGGGGAGCGAACAGGAUUAGAUA
rnacentral:rRNA from 1 species